rnacentral:lncRNA from 12 species
UGAAGACAUGUCUAACCCCAUCAGUGGUCCUUGUGUUUUAGUGGGACUUGCUGUGGGGAAAGGAUUACUGUCUCUAUCUGAAGACAGAUUCAUCUAAGUGGCAGUCCCGGAGAACAGCCACUGACAGUGAGAAAGGCUGAUUGUAUUUAGAAGAGCUCUCCAGGUCUUGUGAGCUGAGCUAAGCUGCUGUCUGGCAGGUGAAUUGGAAAGCUUGAAAGCAGUAAGGACCUGGAAGGAUUGCUGGCUUCCCCUAACAAGAUCCUGACUGGUUGCCAUCUGGUGUAUUGCGAACAGUCUCAGAGAGUAAGAGGCCAUCUGUUAAUACUUUUCCAGGAAGCUUUUUAUAGAGCAAUGAAGUGGCAAAUCUCAAAAACACGUUGUAAUGACUUACGAGAUCUCGGGUAUGUGUACAAGUAGAGGCUGAUAUUUUAUUCCUAUCAACAAUAUAGUUAUCAAUCUCGGGACGA